CCUACGGGUGGCAGCAGUGGGGAAUAUUGCACAAUGGGCGAAAGCCUGAUGCAGCCAUGCCGCGUGAAUGAUGAAGGCCUUAGGGUUGUAAAAUUCUUUCGCUAGGGAUGAUAAUGACAGUACCUAGUAAAGAAGCCCCGGCUAACUUCGUGCCAGCAGCCGCGGUAAUACGAAGGGGGCUAGCGUUGUUCGGAAUUACUGGGCGUAAAGCGCACGUAGGCGGGUUAUUAAGUCAGAUGUGAAAUCCCAAGGCUCAACCUUGGAACUGCAUUUGAAACUGAUAGCCUAGAGAUCAGGAGAGGUUAGCGGAAUACCGAGUGUAGAGGUGAAAUUCGUAGAUAUUCGGUGGAACACCAGUGGCGAAGGCGGCUAACUGGACUGAUACUGACGCUGAGGUGCGAAAGUGUGGGGAGCAAACAGGAUUAGAUACCCUGGUAGUC
rnacentral:rRNA from 1 species